UACGUAGGUGGCAAGCGUUGUCCGGAUUUACUGGGCGUAAAGAGCGCGCAGGCGGUCGUUCAAGUCGCGUGUGAAAGCCCACGGCUCAACCGUGGAAGCGCAUCCAAAACUGCGUCGCUAGAGUCUCGGAGAGGAAGGUGGAAUGCUUGGUGUAGAGGUGAAAUUCGUAGAUAUCAAGCAGAACACCUGCGGCGAAGGCGGCGACCUGGGUUGAUACUGACGCUGAGGCGCGAAAGCGUGGGGAGCAACAGG
rnacentral:rRNA from 1 species